rnacentral:tmRNA from 1 species
GGGACUGCAAGGCAUAGACAGUUGGCCUUUUGUUCUUGAUGCAUACCGAGAAUGAACGUAAUCUCGUAAAAAUUCGUUCAAAUGUUAAUUGCAAAAUUAACUUCAGCACAAGAGUCUCCAUACUUCGGUAUGAAUUCUUUUGCUCUAGCUCUUAUAGACUUCCGAUAUAUAAGAUGGGGCAUCAUAUUAUCGGGAUAGGGGAAAGAAUGUCCUGACUUCCUUCCGAAACAAAGGGACUCGAUUAAAAAAUAUUUGGCUCGCUUAAGAAUUUUUUAAUCUAAACAAAAAAAGCGCGCUAUGUAUGUAGACUUCUUUGCAAAAACCUUCUGCACCGGGGUUCGAUUCCCCGCAGUUCCACUA